CAUCCAGACUCCUACGGGAGGCAGCAGUGGGGGAUAUUGCACAAUGGGGGGAACCCUGAUGCAGCGACGCCGCGUGGGUGAAGGAGUAUUUCGGUAUGUAAAGCCCUAUCGGCAGGGAAGAAGCAAGACGGUACCUGACUAAGAAGCCCCGGCUAACUACGUGCCAGCAGCCGCGGUAAUACGUAGGGGGCGAGCGUUAUCCGGAUUCACUGGGUGUAAAGGGAGCGUAGACGGCCAAGCAAGCCAGGGGGGAAAGCCCGGGGCCCAACCCCGGGACUGCCCUUGGAACUGCUUGGCUGGAGUGCGGGAGGGGCAGGCGGAAUUCCUGGUGUAGCGGUGAAAUGCGCAGAUAUCAGGAAGAACACCGGUGGCGUAGGCGGCUUACUGGACGGCAACUGACGCUGAGGCUCGAAAGCGUGGGGAGCAAACAGGAUUAGAUACCCCGGUA
rnacentral:rRNA from 1 species